AGUUAAUGAACUUGAAAUAAGUUUAUGUUUUGAAAACAUACUAUAGAAGUUUAAUCUUCUAUUAACUU
rnacentral:tRNA from 1 species